CUUUAUGCUACCUGCUUUUGAAAGAACCUAGUGGGGAAACCCCCACUCAACUCCCGAUUCGGCGUACACCCAAGAAUCACGAAUAGAACA
rnacentral:pre_miRNA from 7 species